UUAGUGUAUUUUUCAUCUUUGUUGGAAGCCGCCCAGAGUGGCUGGGGAAACCGAGCCAGAUGGGUGGGGUACAAAUAACAAAAUAAUAAUAAUAAUAAUAAUAAUGAUGAUGAUAAUGAUAAUAAUAAUAAUUUUAUUAUUUGUACCCCGCCCAUCUGACUGGGUUGCCCCAGCCACUCUGGGUGCCUUCAAACAUAUAUAAAAACAUAAUA